UAGAAGUGAAACUAAAAUUGGACAUUCAGACUAGUCAUAACUCCAAGCAUUAAUAUUUUCAGUAACUUCACGCAUCAACACGAAGAAGCUUUUCCUAUAUAUAUGAACCAUUCAAGGAGCAAGCACUUCACGGUCAUACACUCAUCAACCCCACUUACAAGAGUACGAACCAUUAAUAGCCUCUGUUCCUUGGUGAUGAUGACCAAGUACAUGAGGAACAAUGUGCAAGGAGUUGUGCUACUUUUUUCUCUUCUUGUGGUGUGUUUGACUUGUCUUGGAGGCACAUAUGGUGGAAUCAUAAACGACAAGGGGAGUAAUAUGAUAAGCAAAGUAAGCCAUGUAACCAGACCCCCUUGUUAUAAAGAUGGGCACCAGCUCCCAGGACGGGAAUUCUGCUGUAAAAUAGAUAACUUGUGCUGGCCAAAUCUUGGAGAAUGCUUCAUCAACUGUCCCUGCAAGAUUAAUUGCACACCAGCAGCAACAACAACACAAUAGUUUUGUUAUCUCCCCUGUUUUGGGUGGAUAAAUCUCUACCUUAUGGUUCUCAAAAUAAUGAUGUGUGGAUGAGAUCAUAAUUUUUUUUAUGUUUUAUAAAUCAGCUGUGUUAUUUUAAUAUUUAAUAAAAGUAGUGGGUUGCUUGCGCGUUUUGUGGCAAGAUUUGUCACCUACCAUUUACAUGCUAAAUACUUAUUUCUAUCCA